GGGAAAAUUAGAAAUAUUUUUACACAAUGAUGAAUUAAAGGUCUAUUAAAUAAGAAAGCAGUUGAAUGGUUCAUAAAUUCCAACUGUAAUUAAAUAUGAAAUUAACUAAUGUACAUAGUAUGUACAUAUAUGUAGGAAUGGACAAUAUAUAGGGCAAGUGGCAACAUUGUCACUGACCGAAUAACUUAGAGUACGGAUGGCAACCUUGCCAUUUAUCGAUAAGUCAACGAAGCGUCCAUCAGUGGCCAUAAUUGUAACGGUCCUUAUUGGAUGAUCCAUACAGAUCAGCCAUUUGUAAUAGCAUGUAAGCUUUCAGUUGUUAAGUGAAGUUUGUUGAAGGCGGUCACGCCGCCGCGCGAAUAAAAUAAGUGCGGUUAAAGUGAAUUGAAAUAAAUACUAUUGAAAUAAAGUGUCUCGUUUAAUAUGGAAACCCACAUAUAUGUAUGUAAAUUUAACCAGAUGUUAGGAUCUAUUAUAUUCGGUUUUUAGAAGUCGCUCGUUGCAACAGAAACAAUCAAUUAAACGCAAUUGCAUUUGGAAGAAAUGAGGAACCUAGUAGUUUUCGCUGUAUUCUUUCUGGCUUUGGCUUACGAAGCAAAAGCCUUUUUUGCACUUCCAGCCCCAAGUUCAAGUUCUAACUGCCCUUGCGCUUGCUCCUCAAACAACAAACCGUCAGGGGGUGGCUCAACACCUAAACCAAUCGUUAUAAAUGUGACUCCUGGAGGCGAUGACGAUGAUGGUGAUGUAGGUAAUGGAGGCAGACGCCGCUUAAUCGGCCGAAGGAAUAGACGUCUCCGCGGUGGCAGAUUAAGAGUGAGAAGACGCAGAUUGUACUAAACGUAUGCUGCUACAAUGUGAAAAAGGAAGGCUAUACAUUAUAUUAUAACUUUUAAAAUUGUUUUAGUUCAUAUGUAUACUUUUUAUUAUUUGUUAUUGUUUUGAAAUUUAAUAAAAUAUGAAUAGCAUGAAAAAAAAUGUUACUAAAAAUAUACUAUAUUUAUAUAUAUUAUUGCA